UCCCCUCUCUCCUCUCCUCUCUCCCUCUCCCCUUUCCCUCUCUGUGCUCUCCCCCCCUCUCUUCCCAUCGGUGAGCCCGUCUCCACCAUCGUCAUAGCCGUCCGCCAUCUGCACCAUUGUCGCACCAUUGUUGCUGUUGCCGUCCACCAGAGGUAAGGUAUUCCAACCCAUUUAAUGUUCUAAGUAAUUUUUUCAUGUUGAUGUAAAAUUAAAAAUCAUGACUUGUUGCAGUAAGCAUAAGAAUAUACUAUGCAUAGAGAAUAAUACGGAUGCUGAUGAUCGAUAUAGGAGAAAAUUUAUAAAAUAAUUUGGUGAUCUUAUAAGUUACACUACUAAUAUGUUAUUUUUAAU
rnacentral:lncRNA from 1 species